rnacentral:misc_RNA from 1 species
UUUUCCGUCAAUUGUCAAAAUGGGCAUUGACAUCUGCCAUAAAAACAAGAGGAAGGUGGUUCGGAAGGAACCAAGAAGCCAAGACAUCUAUCUUCGGCUUCUUGUUAAGUUGUACAGGUUCCUAGCUAGAAGAACUAAUGCCAAGUUCAACAAGAUUAUCCUGAAGCGUCUGUUUAUGAGCAAGACCAACAGACCACCUCUGUCCGUUGCCAGACUGGUUCGUCUGAUGAAGAGAACAGGCAGAGACAACAAAACUGCUGUGGUUGUUGGCACUGUGACUGAUGAUCUUCGACUUUUAGACGUUCCCAAGCUUAAGAGAGAGCCAGGGCUCGUAUCCUGAAGUCUGGGGGACAGAUCAUCACUUUUGAUCAGCUGGCUCUCAAGUCUCCCAAAGGACAAAAUACAGUGCUGAUGCAAGGACCCAGAAAGUCGCGCAAGGCCUUCAGACACUUUGGAAGAGCACCUGGUGUUCCACACAGUAGUACUGCACCAUACGUGCGCUCCAAGGGAAGGAAGUUUGAGAAGGGAAGAGGAAGGAGAGCAAGCAGAGGUUACAAGGUGUAAUAUGUCCGACUCGUACAAUAAAGAGUAUGCCAGUC